rnacentral:rRNA from 1 species
GACCCGCCGCGGCUCCGAGCGUAGUAGUAAAAUAUCUCGCUAUGGAGGCCCGUGGGGGGAUUACCGGCCGUAAAACCUCUUCUUUACGGAAGAACUUCUCAAGGUUGACCUCGGAUCAGGUAGGAAUACCCGCUGAACUUAAGCAUAUCAAUAAGCGGAGGAAAAGAAACCAACAGGGAUUGCCCCAGUAACGGCGAGUGAAGCGGCAACAGCUCAGAUUUGAAAUCUGGUCCCCAGGGCCCGAGUUGUAAUCUGUAGAGGAUGUUUCUGGCAAGGCGCCGUCCGAGUUCCCUGGAACGGGACGCCGGAGAGGGUGAGAGCCCCGUACAGGCGGACGCCGAGCCUCUGUGAAACUCCUUCGACGAGUCGAGUAGUUUGGGAAUGCUGCUCAAAGCGGGAGGUAAAUUUCUUCUAAAGCUAAAUAUAGGCCAGAGACCGAUAGCGCACAAGUAGAGUGAUCGAAAGAUGAAAAGCACUUUGAAAAGAGGGUUAAAAAGCACGUGAAAUUGUUGAAAGGGAAGCGCCUGUGACCAGACUCGCGCCCGGCGUAUCAUCCGGCGUUCUCGCCGGUGCACUACGCCGGGCUCGGGCCAGCAUCGGUUCUGGUGGGGGGAUAAAGGCGGCGGGGAUGUGGCUCCCCCGGGAGUGUUAUAGCCCGCCGCUCAAUGCCCUCGCCGGGACCGAGGACCGCGC